rnacentral:rRNA from 1 species
GACGAACGCUGGCGGCGCGCUUAACACAUGCAAGUCGAACGGAAAGGCCUGCUUUCCCUUGUGGAUUGCGGGUACUCGAGUGGCGAACGGGUGAGUAACACGUGCGUGAUCUGCCCCCAACUUGGGUAUAAGCCUGGGUAACUGGGUCUAAUUCCCGAUAGGACUGCAGGGUGGUGCCUGUGGUGGAAAACGAUUUUCUAGUGGUUGGGGAUGAGCUCGCGGCCUAUCAGCUUGUUGGUGGGGUAAUGGCCUACCAAGGCGGCGACGGGUAGCCGGCCUGGGAGGGUGGACGGCAACAUUGGGACGGAGAUACGGCCAAGACUCCUACGGGAGGCAGCAGUGGGGAAUAUUGCACAAUGGGCGGAAGCCUGAUGCAGCGACGCCGCGUGGGGGAUGACGGCCUUCGGGUUGUAAACUCCUUUCGGCCGCGAGGAAGCCACCUGGUUGGAAGGGUGGUGACGGUAGUGGUAGAAGAAGCACCGGCUAACUACGUG